UACAGAGGGGGCAAGCGUUGUUCGGAAUUACUGGGCGUAAAGGGCGCGUAGGCGGCCUGCUAAGUCGAACGUGAAAUCCCUGGGCUCAACCCAGGAACUGCGUCCGAUACUGGUUGGCUUGAAUCCGGGAGAGGGACGUGGAAUUCCUGGUGUAGCGGUGAAAUGCGUAGAGAUCAGGAGGAACACCCAUGGCGAAGGCAGCUCUCUGGUCGACCUCUGACGCUGAGACGCGAAAGCGUGGGGAGCGAACGGG
rnacentral:rRNA from 1 species